rnacentral:rRNA from 1 species
AAAAACAUGUCUUUAAGUUUAUAAUUUAAAGUCCAAUCUGCUCACUGAUAUUUAAAGAGCCGCAGUAUUUUGACUGUGCAAAGGUAGCAUAAUCAAUAGUUUCUUAAUUGGAAGCUGGAAUGAAGGAUUAGACGAGAAAUUAGCUUUCUUUAUUUUUACGAAUUGAACUUAAAUUUUAAGUUAAAAUUCUUAAGUGUAUUUAAAAGACGAGAAGACCCUAUAGAUUUUUAUUUAUCAAUAUUAUUAAUAAAGUUUUAAUUUUAUUUAUUAAUUUAGUUGGGGCGACGUUGUAAUAAAACAAACUUAACUUUAAAAUACCAUGGAUGAUUGAAUUUUCUGAUCUAAAAUUUUUAGAUGAAAGAUUAAAUUACCUUAGGGAUAACAGCGUAAUUUUAUUUAAGAGUUCAUAUCUAUAAUAAAGUUUGCGACCUCGAUGUUGAAUUAAGAGAUAGCCUGGGGCAGAAAUUGGGAUAAAUUAGUCUGUUCGACUAUUAAACUCUUACGUGAUCUGAG